rnacentral:rRNA from 1 species
UAAUACGGAGGGUGCAAGCGUUGUCCGGAUUUAUUGGGUUUAAAGGGUGCGUAGGCGGAUUAUUAAGUCAGUGGUGAAAGUUUGCGGCUCAACCGUAAAAGUGCCAUUGAUACUGGUAGUCUUGAGUACAGUAGAGGUAGGCGGAAUUUAUGGUGUAGCGGUGAAAUGCAUAGAUACCAUAAAGAACACCGAUAGCGAAGGCAGCUUACUAUACUGUAACUGACGCUGAGGCACGAAAGCGUGGGGAGCGAACAGGAUUAGAUACCCUGGUAGUCCACGCUGUAAACGAUGAAGACUCGCUGUUGGCGAUACACAGUCAGUGGCCAAGCGAAAGCGUUAAGUCUUCCACCUGGGGAGUACGAUCGCAAGAUUG